rnacentral:rRNA from 1 species
CCUACAGGCGGCAGCAGUGGGGAAUAUUGCACAAUGGGGGAAACGCUGAUGCAGCGACGCCGCGUGAGGGAAGACGGUCUUCGGAUUGUAAGCCUCUGUCUUUGGGGGAGAAAAUGACGGUACCCGAAGAGGAAGCUCCGGCUAACUACGUGCCAGCAGCCGCGGUAAUACGUAGGGAGCGAGCGUUGUCCGGAAUUACUGGGUGUAAAGGGAGCGUAGGCGGGCGAGAAAGUUGAAUGUUAAAUCUACCGGCUUAACUGGUAGCUGCGUUCGAAACUUCUUGUCUUGAGUGAAGUAGAGGCAGGCGGAAUGCCUAGUGUAGCGGUGAAAUGCGUAGAUAUUAGGAGGAACACCAGUGGCGAAGGCGGCCUGCUGGGCUUUAACUGACGCUGAGGCUCGAAAGCGUGGGGAGCAAACAGGAUUAGAUACCCUGGUAGUC